UACCCCAAACCAACGGUCCCACGUUCAGAUUGCAGGCUGAAACCCGCCUGCAUGAAGACGGAAUUGCUAGUAAUCGCGGAUCAGCAUGCCGCGGUGAAUACGUUCCCGGGCCUUGUACACACCGCCCGUCACACCAUGAGAGUCGGUAACACCCGAAGCCUGUGAGCUAACCGUAAGGAGGCAGCAGUCGAAGGUGGGAUCGAUAAUUGGGGUGAAGUCGUAACAAGGUAGC
rnacentral:rRNA from 1 species